ACAGUACACGCCUUAACAAGGUGAAACCGCGAACGGCUCAUUAUAACAGCUAUAAUUUACUUGACCUUGACCAGUUACUUGGAUAACUGUGGUAAUUCUAGAGCUAAUACAUGCACCGAAGUUGUUCCUCGCGGAGCAAUGCAUUUAUUUGAGCAAAACCAGGCGGCUUCGGCCGUUUCUGUUGAAUCAGAAUAACUAAGCUGAUCGCAUGGGCUUGUCCCGGCGACGUGUCUUUCAAGUGUCUGCCUUAUCAACUUUCGAUGGUAGUGUACGUGACUACCAUGGUGUUGACGGGUAACGGAGGAUAAGGGUUCGACUCCGGAGAAGGGGCCUGAGAAAUGGCCACUACGUCUAAGGAUGGCAGCAGGCGCGCAAAUUACCCACUCUCGGUUCGAGGAGGUAGUGACGAAAAAUAACAAGGCCGUUCUCUUUGAGGCCGGCCAUUGGAAUGGGUACAACUUAAACCCUUUAACGAGUAUCAAUGAGAGGGCAAGUCUGGUGCCAGCAGCCGCGGUAAUUCCAGCUCUCAAAAUGCAUAGAACCAUUGCUGCGGUUAAAAAGCUCGUAGUUGGAUCUGUGCCGGCGACGUGGUCCGCCCUAACGGGAGGUACUGCGCUCGUCGGCUUUGGGCCGGUUUUCGGUCGGUCGCCUUAACUGGCGGCCGCUCGUGGCUGGCUGGUUUACUUUGAGCAAAUCAGAGUGCUCAGCACAGGCGUCUCGCCGGAAUGUUCGUGCAUGGAAUAAUAGAAAAGGAUUUCGGUCCUCUUUUAUUGGUUUUGUGGACUGAGAUAAUGGUUAACAGAGACGGACGGGGGCAUUCGUAUUGCUGCGUGAGAGGUGAAAUUCUUGGACCGCAGCAGGACGGACUACA
rnacentral:rRNA from 1 species